CUCCUGACAGGAAAGAAUUGGGAUGUGAGUGCUGCCCUCAGUGAUUUUGAACAGCUACGUCAAGUCCAUGCUGGGAACCUACCCCCAUCCUUUAGUGAGGGGAGUGGUGGCUCCAGGACCCCUGAAAAAGGGUUUUCUGACAGAGAGCCUACUCGCCCUUCCCGACCCAUCCUCCAACGGCAGGAUGACAUCGUUCAAGCUUCCAGAUCUCACUGUGUAUAAUGAAGACUUCCGCAGCUUCAUAGAGAGAGACCUCAUUGAGCAGUCCAUGCUGGUUGCCUUGGAACAGGCAGGGCGUUUGAACUGGUGGGUGAGUGUGGAUCCCACCUCUCAGAGGCUGCUUCCUUUGGCAACUACUGGAGAUGGGAACUGCCUCCUGCAUGCAGCCUCCCUUGGAAUGUGGGGUUUCCAUGAUCGGGACUUGAUGCUGCGGAAAGCUUUGUAUGCACUGAUGGAGAAGGGAGUUGAGAAGGAAGCAUUGAAACGGCGCUGGAGGUGGCAGCAGACACAGCAGAAUAAAGAGGUGGGAGAGCGUGGGUGGGAGCACCUUGUUUCCUAAAGUUACCUAGUUGCCAAAGUCACUGGGUGCCUGCCAGUAGAAAAUAUUUCCAAGUGUUUAUGUCAGUGUGACUCCCCUUAUGAUCCUGAAAAUUGGAGAAAAUGCAGUUAACACCAAUGGGGUAAGUGCCUUCUGAUGUGGUCAUGAGAACUGGUCGUGGGCAUGAGACCUACAGAGAGGUUAUCUAACAUUGUGCUUUUCCCCCAAUAGGUGCUUUAUAGCUUUUAGUGGCAGUAUUUUGCAAAAUGAGUUAUGACAAUUCCAUAGGAUUUUUGUGUUGUUUUGUUUUUUUGCUUGUAAUAAGGCUAGAUCAAUUUUUAAAGACUUAUAUUUUCAGCCCCUAUAGAAAUGUGAAUGCUUAAAAUCUUUUUGGACAUAUAUACCAUUUGUUUUUCAUAUACUCAGUUUUAGUUUAUUUUAAAUUUUAAAAAGCAUAAGGAACCAGCAUUCUAAUCACCCACACACACAAAAAGCAUACCUAUUUAAUUGAGUUUGAACAGUACUUCUCAGGAGUUUGUCAAAUGUUGAGGCUGCUGUUAUAUAAGGCAGUAACAACAGAUUGUUUGUACUUGCCCUCUCCAAAAUGGGUUGGGCAAACUAUGGCUAUUUUGUUUAAAAAAAAAAAAAAAAAAAAAAACCUUUUAUCAGAACACAGCCCUGUGCAUUUCUUGGAUGUUUACACGUGUAACUGCUUUCUUCCUCCAACAGCAGAGUAGUAACAUGUGGCCUGCACAGCCCAUACUUAUUGACUACCUGGCCCUUUACAGAAAAAGUUUGCUGAUUACUUCCCUUCAAUAAUGACAUUGUGCCUUUACAUAAAAAUAAUGAGGCUCCCUAUUUCCUUUUCCUGUGAUUCUGUCUGCUAUGUUUAUAUCUCCUGCUCUUUAUGUAUGUCUAUUUUUUUUUUUUUUCCAUGUUAUGGCUGGAUCUUUCUGGCAUUUAAUAUGGCAAUAUCUCUUCAGAAACUUUCCUUUUUCGUCCAUCUUUCUUUUUUUCUCAUUUUAUUGCUCUGUCAUAACUUGACAAUAUAGAAGAGGUUUUUUUGUUUUAGUUAUUUAGAAUUUUAUAUCCUGAAGAUUUAAUAUGUAAGUAGAACAUGCUAUGUUUCUUCCUCAAAAACAAGUAACCCAGUUGUUAAAAGUAGAUGAUAUUAAGAUCAGAAUCCUCUCCUUGAGCAGCCAGUCUUCCCCAGAAGAUUCCUGAGGGAAAUAAACCCACAGGGGCAAGGCCACAUAAGUGACAUUCUUUUUUAGCACCAAAAGCUUGGCUGGAUCUCGUGGAAAGCUUUUGCCUGAGCUAGAGCUAGCCUAGAAUUUAGAACCCAAAGCAAAUCAGUAGUCAGUUUUGUAGUAGUCAGCUUUGUCCUCUUCACUGUUGAGUUCAGAUAAUACCGGAACCUUAACCACUGCAGAGGCAAGAAAAGGCCAAACCAGAACAUGCCAACUAUUAAGUAGAAAUGACAGCAACAGCCAGAAAAGCAAUUACAGUUAUUAUUCUAAAGAUGGGCUUAGAUUAUAAUGGUAUUUAGCCAGGAAACCCAGAAAUACCCAUGUUCUAUCCUUGGCCAGCCAGCCUUUCCCUCUCAAAGUCAGCCUUUCCCUCUGAAAGUCCCCAACAUGCAAAGAGAAUAGUGGCUAGUAAUGGAGCAAUAGUUUUACUCCUUUUGCUCAGCACAGUGAAAGUUCAUACUGAAAAUGUGGCCUUCAUAAUUGUCAUAGCUUAAACCAUUCAUAGCAUUAUACCCACCUUGGGAGUGGGAAUGGUAGGAGAAGGAUAAUGAACUGGGGAAGCUUCCUUUAGCUCCCCAGUACCAAAACCACACUAAAUAAGUUUUGAUUUCCUGGGCUUCCUUGUUUUAUGUUGAAAUUGGUGGUGAGUCUCAGUAAUAGUUUCUUAAAUGUUAAGGCUAGAAGUGUACACCACCUAGUGGCUGUGUACAUUAAAACAGGAAGCAGAAACCGGCGAGGAAGAGGGAGCCGGAUCCCUCUGGAUGUGUCUAUUGGAGUGACUGCAGCACUCCAUAUAGAACCUGGGCAUUGCUCUCUUUAUUUUUAAUUGAAGUAAAAUUUGUGAUAGCAUUUUACAAAUUAGAAAAUAGCUGUGUCAUUUAAAAAAUUCCCAUUAAAUUUGUUCCCAAUACCCCUCACGUUUCCUGUGAUUCCUUCUACUCUGUCAGUGUGCGGUUAAGCAGUAUAGACUCAUUUUAAUACUAAUGUCAGCCAAAUAAAAUUAAUAAGGUAAACUUAUUUCCCUUAUCAUUAUAUACAUCCUAAAGCCAAUGUAUUUUAAAAUUGCUUGUACCAUUGCCUGCUCUCCUUUGAUAAAAAUUGUAGUUUCACUUAGCAUAUGUUUAUUGAUUAUAGUCACAAAAUAGACCUUGGGUGUAUUGCAUAAAACAUGAUCCUAACAUAGAGGAGGAGAUGGACAUGUAAAUACAUAAUUGCAACAGGUUAUAACAUGUAUGACUCUUACAAAAGACGUCUCUAUAGCAGUUAAAGCCGGCCAGGUGCAGUGGCUCCCGCCUGUAAUCCCAGCACUUUGGGAGGCCAAGGCAGGCGGAUCACCUGUUGGUAGUUUGAGACCAGCCUGGCCAACAUGGUGAAACCCCGUCUCUACUAAAAAUACAAAACUAGCCAGGCACAGUGGUGUGCACGUGUAGUCCCAGCUACUCAGGAGGCUGAGGCAGGAGAAUUGCUUGAACCUGGGAGGUGGAGGUUGCAGUGAGCCAAGAUCAUGCCACUGCACUCCAUCCUGGGUGAUAGAGCAAGACUUUGUCUCAAACAAACAAACAAAACAACAACAACAACUCUAUAGCAGUUAGGGAGAGAGGAUACAAAGGAAGGAGUGGUUGAUCUGCCAAGGGAGAUUUAGGAGACUGUUUAGAGGAAUGAUACUUGGGUUCUGUCCUAAAAGUUGAGAAAUUGUUCACAAGGUCGAUAGAAAGUGAGCUACUCCAGGCAGAAGGAACAGCUUAGACAAAAGCUCAGUGGUAUAAAACAACAUGGUACAUUUCGGGAACUACAGCUAAUUCAGUGAGAUAUAUCUGACUAGAGAAGUGGGUAGGGGCCAGGAAGUAGGCUUUGUAUGCAGCGCUUCUACUUGGGAGGCUGAGGCAGGAGAAUUGCUUGAACCCGGGAGGUGGAGGUUGCAGUGAGCCGAGAUUGCUCCACUGUACUCCAGCCUGGGUGACAGAGCAAGACUCUGUCUCAAAAAAAAAAA
rnacentral:sRNA from 1 species